rnacentral:rRNA from 1 species
AGAGUUUGAUCCUGGCUCAGAGCGAACGCUGGCGGCGUGCUUAACACAUGCAAGUCGAACGCGCAGCAUUCUGUAGCAAUACAGGGUGUGGGCGCGUGGCGAACGGGUGCGUAACACGUGGAUAACCUUCCUUGAGGUGGGGAAUAACCCAGUGAAAAUUGGGCUAAUACCGCAUAACAUCGCGAUGGCACAUGCUGUUGCGAUCAAAGGCGCAAGUCGCCACAAGAGGGAUCCGCGGCCGAUUAGCUUGUUGGCGAGGUAAUGGCUCACCAAGGCAAUGAUCGGUAGCCGGACUGAGAGGUUGGCCGGCCACACUGGAACUGAGACACGGUCCAGACUCCUACGGGAGGCAGCAGUGGGGAAUCUUGCACAAUGGACGAAAGUCUGAUGCAGCAACGCCGCGUGGGGGAUGAAGCUUCUCGGAGUGUAAACCCCUUUCGACCCGGAAGAAUGCCCGCAAGGGUAUGACGGUACGGGUAUAAGAAGCCCCGGCUAACUACGUGCCAGCAGCCGCGGUAAUACGUAGGGGGCCAGCGUUGCUCGGAAUUACUGGGCGUAAAGGGUCCGUAGGCGGUGUAGCAAGUCGAUAGUGAAAUCUCUGGGCUUAACCCAGAGGCUGCUAACGAAACUGCUGUGCUAGAGUGUGAGAGAGGCGAGUGGAAUUACGGGUGUAGCGGUGAAAUGCGUAGAUAUCCGUAGGAACAUCCGAGGCGAAGGCGGCUCGCUGGAUCACAACUGACGCUGAGGGACGAAAGCUAGGGGAGCAAACAGGAUUAGAUACCCUAGUAGUCC